rnacentral:misc_RNA from 1 species
AACCUAGCACACCUGCGGUGUGUACCUGCGGAAGGAUCAUUACAUGAUUUAACAGGGAGUGGAGGCUUCGGCCAAAGCUCUGUCUGAACCCAUGUCUUUUGCGUACUUCUUGUUUCCUCGGUGGGCUUGCCCGCCGAUAGGACAACCUUAAACUCUUUGCAAUUGCAAUCAGCGUCUGAAAAACUAUAAUAGUUACAACUUUUAACAACGGAUCU